rnacentral:rRNA from 1 species
GGGGGAUAAGCGGAAGAAAUUCCGUCUAAUACCGCGUAACAACCCAUGGAGGCAUCUCUGUGGGUUUAAAGGAAGCGAUUCCGGCUACGGAUGGUCAUGCGUCGCAUUAGCUUGUUGGCGGGGUAACGGCCCACCAAGGCGACGAUGCGUAGGGGUUCUGAGAGGAAGGUCCCCCACACUGGUACUGAGACACGGACCAGACUCCUACGGGAGGCAGCAGUGAGGAAUAUUGGUCAAUGGCCGCAGGGCUGAACCAGCCAAGUCGCGUGAGGGAUGACGGUCCUAUGGAUUGUAAACCUCUUUUGUCAGGGAGCAAAGGGCGCCACGUGUGGCGCUUUGCGAGUACCUGAAGAAAAAGCAUCGGCUAACUCCGUGCCAGCAGCCGCGGUAAUACGGAGGAUGCGAGCGUUAUCCGGAUUUAUUGGGUUUAAAGGGUGCGCAGGCGGAAUGUCAAGUCAGCGGUAAAAUUUCGGGGCUCAACCCCGUCGUGCCGUUGAAACUGGCGUUCUUGAGUGAGCGAGAAGUAUGCGGAAUGCGUGGUGUAGCGGUGAAAUGCAUAGAUAUCACGCAGAACUCCGAUUGCGAAGGCAGCAUACCGGCGCUCAACUGACGCUCAUGCACGAAAGCGUGGGUAUCGAACAGGAUUAGAUACCCUGGUAGUCCACGCAGUAAAC